rfam:Burkholderia glathei PML1(12) contig00093, whole genome shotgun sequence.
UGACAAGAUAGGUGUUGGGGUCCUACAUCGCAAGCGAUGCAGACCCCCAACACCUGGGCUAAGUCGCCCGUUGGGCUCUACGCUUGUCUUGCUCUGGGAGGCU